rnacentral:rRNA from 1 species
GACGAACGCUGGCAGCGUGCUUAACACAUGCAAGUCGAACGAUGAAGCUGGAGCUUGCUCCGGUGGAUUAGUGGCGAACGGGUGAGUAACACGUGAGCAAUCUGCCCUUCACUCUGGGAUAACUGCGGGAAACUGUAGCUAAUACCGGAUACGAGACCUUGGGGCAUCCCAGGGUCUGGAAAGAAUUUCGGUGAAGGAUGAGCUCGCGGCCUAUCAGCUAGUUGGUGAGGUAAUGGCUCACCAAGGCGACGACGGGUAGCCGGCCUGAGAGGGUGACCGGCCACACUGGGACUGAGACACGGCCCAGACUCCUACGGGAGGCAGCAGUGGGGAAUAUUGCACAAUGGGCGAAGGCCUGAUGCAGCAACGCCGCGUGAGGGAUGAAGGCCUUCGGGUUGUAAACCUCUUUUAGUAGGGAAGAAGCGCAAGUGACGGUACCUACAGAUAAAGCACCGGCUAACUACGUGCCAGCAGCCGCAGUAA